rnacentral:lncRNA from 1 species
GUUUUCUGUUUGACUCCAAGUUUUGAGUCAAUUUUGCAAAAAGCCCUAAUAAGUAAUUUAUAUUUGUUAAAAUUAAUGUAGCUUUUUAAGACACCACAGUUAUUACACCCAAUUUGCUAUCCGAUAAUUAUAUUUUCCAUUUUAAUAUGUUAUAGUAUUUAGAUUGAUAGUAUUUAGUAUCAAUUUAUUGUAUUUGACUUUUAUUUCUAACUUUUAUACACUUCAAUCAAAUUAAAUAAUUUAUAUA